rnacentral:rRNA from 1 species
AUGAGUACAUCUCUGCAGGCUGUAGACAUUUUUGCUCUUAUUACUCCCUCCCAGUCAGGCCGCACACAUAUAACCAUGUCAACAGCUGGUCAACGUGGAGAGAAAACUAUCGAGCAGCCCAAAAUCAUGACAGAGAGCGGAGGUAUUGGCGCCGGUUUUGUAAGACGAGGAGUAGCAUCCAACCAGCUGCUAAUAGAAAUCAUGCCGCUUCUCCUUCAGCACAAAUCCUUUCAUAUGCCGAGCUAUAAUUGUGUUUACUAUCAAGACGAGGUUGAGGAGAGACUGUUGCAACUCUUUCUGGGAUUGCAAAUCUGCACAAAAGACUGUUGGCAAACCUUGCUACCUGAUAUAAGAAUAGAGGAAUCUCCUUUUGUGACGAAAUUACCCUAG